GGGGCCAGAGCAGGGAUUUAGCCCAAAGUUCCUUGGGAGCUUGGGUGCAGCUCCCAGCUCUUCUUAGCAAGAAAGUUUAGCACAUUCAUGGUUCAUGAUAAACAUAGCCACAGAAGUGGCUCCACAAUCCAUGGGCAACUGGGUUUUCAGAAAUCGGUAAUCGGAGCUGAUCUUCAAAGAAACCCUUUCAAAACAGACCCCUCUGUGCCCACUUGAUAGAUACUGAAGGUUCAAGUUGCUGUGGGUGAACACUUUCUUCUGAAGAAAAAUUGUACAAAACUUGGAAAUAAGGCAGAAGAAGCUGGGUCAGUUGACUCUCAGAACACAGAGAAUCGUUCGAGUGAUAAUGUUCUCAGCGCUGGCACAGGCAGGACUUGGCUAGUGCCAUCCAGACGCAGAGAGGUGUCGACUGGGACCGAGUCUUCCUGGGAACCCACUGGAGAGUGUCCAUUCAUAGGACCUUCCUGCUGACAACCCUCCUCUCAGGCGUCUGCACUCCCGUGCCUGCACUGUUCACCGGAGCUACAAGGAGGGAACAACCUGGAUGACCAUCACCAGAUGAAGGGUAAAGAGACUGUGACUUGUACGAGCAGAGGAGGGCUACGGAGGCUUCAAAAACAAGGAAAUUCUGCAAUGUGAGACAGCCUAUUGGACCUUGAGGACGUUAUGUUAUGAAACAAGCCAGACGCAGAAAGACAAAUACUAUGUGAUUCCUAAAAUAGUCAAAUUUAUAAAACCGGGGGUUGCCAUGGGGGUUGUUACCAGGGAGUGCGGGGGAGGGCGUUUCUGGGGCGUCAUAUUGAUUGACAGACGUACGGUUUCGGUUAAAUAAGAUGAACGAAUUCAGAUCUGCUGAACAGCCUUGUACCUACAGUCCACAACAGUGCACCGUUGACAUUUGUUAAGAGGGUAACUCUCAUGUUGUGUUCUCAUCAAACUAAAAUA